AGGAUAAACAGGGGGUGCAGUCUUUAAAACUGCUCUCAGAGAAGCUUCCAGUGGAACCAAAGGAAUACAGAUGGAGGGCCUGGGGAGAGAUGGCCUGAGGGGACCUGCAGAAGGGAUUUACCUGCUGCCCCUCCCCCAGGGGAGCCAGGAGACUGAGCUGGGCUGUAAACACUCCGUGCCUGGUGCAGCCUGGUCUGCACAGGCUGAGAGGAUGCUCUACUUCUAAACCCCAUAAGGAAAAGGCCCAGGAGGGACGGGGAUGUUGCUGCUGAUAGCUAAAAAUGAUCAAAUUCUUACCAUAUGCCAGACCUUAUGCUGGACAAUUCACUGACAUUAUCCCACGUAGUAGGCAGAAUUCUAACGUGACCCCCAAGAUUCUCCACCUUCUGUGUAAUCCCCAGGAUUGUGAAUGUGAUGGAUUUCAUUCUGGUAAACAGGUUUUGUUAUAUGGCACAGAUGACUUUAAGACAGGGAGGCUUUAAAUCUGUGACUAGCAGAAGACAUAUGGAAGGCAGAGAUUCAAAAUAUAAGAGGGAUCUGACGCACCACUACUGGCUUGAAAAUGGAGGGGACCACAUGGCAGAGGACGCACGCAGCCUCUAGUUGCUGAGGGUGGUCUCCAGUUGACAGCGGCAAGGUAACAGGGGCCUCAGUCCUACAACCACAAGGAACUGAACUCUGCCAACAUACUGAAAGAGCUUGAAGGAGGAGCAUAAGCCUCAGGGGUGAGAUCAUAGACCCAGACAAAGCCUUGAUUUUAGUUGCCUAAAACCCCGAACUGAGAACCCAGGCAUCUUGAGUGGGACUCCUAACCCACAGAAACUGUGAGAUUAAUAAUUAGUGGCGUUUUAAAAGGGUUAACUUAUGAUAUUUUUAAAAUUAGCAACACAGAAAAUCAUACACCCCAUGUGAUACCCAUCAUAACCCUCUCAAGUAGGCUUCACCAUUUUAUAGACAAGGAAACAAAGACCCAGGGAAAUUAGGAAUUUGCCCAAAGUCACAUAGCCUGUGAGUGGCAGAGACAGGUUUAAACCCAGCUAUGUCUUGACUUUAUGGUCAGUGCUCUUCAUUGCCUCAUGCAUUUCCUCUCUGUAUGAGAAGAGAGCCUCAGACACAUGGUGAAAAGAGUAUGGAACUGUUUCUGUCUGCCUGGGUGUGGAUGUGCAGAAGGGUCAGAGGACCUAUGCUUUUGUUUUGGUUUUAAAUGGUGAAAAGACAUAUACAUAGAAUCAACUAGCUGGAUUCAGUUUAGAUGAUCCCAAUAUGCCUUCUUCUCUCCAUCAGGCCUGAUCAGGGUGUUGGCUUUGGCCACAGCAGUGUCACUGAGCUUCUUCACAGCCUGUUUGAUCUGGUGCUUGUUGGCUUUGACAUCCACAAUGGACACAAGUUGUGUUGUUGUCUUCUAUCUUCUUCAUGGCUGACUCAGUGGUUGGGGGAACCUGAUGAUGAAUUAUUGGUCAAGCUUGUUUCUCCUGGGAGUGCUCUUCCAAGCAUAUUUCUGCUGCCUGCAGAGCCACACUGUCUUGGGCCACUGGCAGGUGGGUGAUGUGUGGAUUGGAUCUUCUUUUUGUGGCUGUGGACACCUUUAAGCACUGCCUUCCUGGCCUUCAAAGCAUUCGCUUUGGCUUCAGCUUUGGGAGGGGCAAGAACUUUUUUCACUUUUGGUGCCAUAAUGUGAAAAUGAGGACCUAUGUUGAGCCCUCACUCCUCUAGAAGCCAGCUGUGUGCCCUCGGCAAAGUCAAUUAAUCACUCUGAGCCUCAGUUUUUAUAAUCUGUAUGAGGCCUACUAAGAAUUUCUGCAUUAUAACCCUUGAAGGGCUGCAGCUGAUGAUCCCAUAAAAGUGUGUGAGGGGCCACUGUGAAUGAAGUCCACAGGGCAGACAGAGGCACCUGGAUGUCAUGUAGAUAUCAUUUUCUUUUCUUGAUGACUGCCAAUUUCAAUGUCCUCUGCCUAUAGGCUGGAUAUGGUCACUCUGAUGGCUUAUUUGGAGGAAGUAAUUUUAAAUAGGUUUUUUUUUUAGAGGAAAUGAUUAUUUAUUACAUUUAUUGAAAAACUACAGAAUAAGAUGGAAGGUAAUUUUUCUUUUUUUCUUGAAUUCUUUAAAAGUUAGUUGACUAUUAAAAGCCAAAGUAAUAACAAUGUAUUGUGGAAUUCAUAAAAUACGAAGACUGAAAGUGUGUGAAUAUGACAGCACAAAGAUAAAUAGAAGGUACACAGAUAAUUACACUGUUUAUACAGGAAGCAUUAUAAUAUUAAUUCACGGUAGGCUGUGAUAAGUUAACGGUGUAUUUUUAGUGUAUAAAUGACUAAAAUAUACAAAGAAAUAUAGCUAACACACCAACAGAAGAGAAAAUGGUAAACUAAAAAAUACUUUAAUAAACUGAAAGAAUACA
rnacentral:lncRNA from 1 species